GAACGCUGGCGGCGUGCCUAAUACAUGCAAGUCGAACGCGAGCAGCAAUGCUCGAGUGGCGAACGGGUGAGUAAUACAUAAGUAACCUGCCCUAGACAGGGGGAUAACUGCUGGAAACGGCAGCUAAGACCGCAUAGGUAUGGACACUGCAUGGUGACCAUAUUAAAAGUGCCAAGGCACUGGUAGAGGAUGGACUUAUGGCGCAUUAGCUGGUUGGUGGGGUAACGGCUCACCAAGGCGACGAUGCGUAGCCGACCUGAGAGGGUGACCGGCCACACUGGGACUGAGACACGGCCCAGACUCCUACGGGAGGCAGCAGUAGGGAAUUUUCGGCAAUGGGGGGAACCCUGACCGAGCAACGCCGCGUGAAGGAAGAAGGAAUUCGUUCUGUAAACUUCUGUUAUAAAGGAAGAACGGCGGAUAUAGGGAAUGAUAUCCGAGUGACGGUACUUUAUGAGAAAGCCACGGCUAACUACGUGCCAGCAGCCGCGGUAAUACGUAGGUGGCGAGCGUUAUCCGGAAUUAUUGGGCGUAAAGAGGGAGCAGGCGGCGGCAGAGGUCUGUGGUGAAAGACUGAAGCUUAACUUCAGUAAGCCAUAGAAACCGGGCUGCUAGAGUGCAGGAGAGGAUCGUGGAAUUCCAUGUGUAGCGGUGAAAUGCGUAGAUAUAUGGAGGAACACCAGUGGCGAAGGCGACGGUCUGGCCUGUAACUGACGCUCAUUCCCGAAAGCGUGGGGAGCAAAUAGG
rnacentral:rRNA from 1 species